rnacentral:rRNA from 1 species
UACGUAGGGGGCAAGCGUUAUCCGGAUUUACUGGGUGUAAAGGGAGCGCAGACGGUCUGGUAAGUCAGGUGUGAAAGCCCGGGGCUCAACCCCGGGAUUGCACUUGAAACUACCCGACUAGAGUGCAGGAGAGGUAAGUGGAAUUCCUAGUGUAGCGGUGAAAUGCGUAGAUAUUAGGAGGAACACCAGUGGCGAAGGCGGCUUACUGGACUGUAACUGACGUUGAGGCUCGAAAGCGUGGGGAGCAAACAGG